rnacentral:lncRNA from 1 species
GUACUUUCCAAAUCUCAGGGAACAUGAUCACCAAUCUGAAGCCUUUACCUGGUCAAACUGUCAGCCAAAUGCAACGGUAGAAUAGGGAUAUUUUCAGACAGAAAUGCAAGGUCUCAAAAAUUAGCCUCCUCUGCACCCUUUCUUGGGAAGUUUCUGGAGAAGGCACUAUGCUGAGUACGUCAUGAGGACUCUAUAAGACAAGCCUUUCUGUGCUCCUCAGGUCUGGGAGACAAAGGCUUCAAGAAACCAAACAACUGCAGGGCUCAAAUGGUCUCAACCUCAGAGCCUGUAAUGUCAACCACUGCAUUGACUGCUAGGAGAAAGGGAAAUACAAGAUGUGGAAGCAACUUACAACGUCAGAACAAAUGGACACAUGAAGUCUUACCACGACGCAGGGAUUGGUAGAGCAGAUGCUUGCCUGUGCAGUAAUUUGAAGAAUGCCAGCAGAGCUCUGUUUUCAAAGUCCCCCUCUCUUAUCUUCCAUUCCUGCAGGCAGAGCAAAGUUUGCAGGUCCAUGAAACCAAACUUGUCUUUCUCCUAGAACUUCUCUUGUGUGUGUUAUUUUUCAGUGGCAGCUCCAUCCUCAGAAAUGUACA